UUCAGUGCCUUUUGAGGCCACUUUGGCCA
rnacentral:misc_RNA from 1 species